rnacentral:lncRNA from 10 species
GGCCGAGCCUGGCCGAGGCCCCGGGGCCGGGCCUUCUAGCUUGGCGCUGCGGCCGGGCUGCGCCCUCGCCCGGCGGGGCGGUGGGGGAGGCGGCGUGGGGCCCGGACCCGAGCGGAGCGCGCUCCCGGCGGACGCGGCGGCGGCGCCCGGCGCGAGGGGCCGGGAUGGGCAGUCAUCAGUCUUCCCAGGCCUCUGCCGCAGACAUGGAGAAACUCAGCGCGCUGCAGGAGCAGAAGGGCGAGCUGCGCAAGCGGCUGUCCUACACCACACACAAGCUCGAGAAGCUCGAGACCGAGUUCGACUCCACGCGCCACUACCUGGAGAUCGAGCUGCGGCGCGCGCAGGAGGAACUGGAGAAGGUCACGGAGAAGCUGCGCAGAUGGGGAGUCCAGAGGUUCUGGUAGGGGAAGCUCUUCCUCCAAAGUCACACUAUGGAGCAGCUGAGCCAGGAUUUGAACCCAGCAGAUCUCCAGACCCAGACUGGUCCACCCGGGGCCCAGCCAUGGUUCCCUGGGUCCUGAUGGGAAAAGCUGUGUCUAGCCCGGAGAUGAACCAGUUUAGGGACCCUUCCCUUGAGCGCGUACGGGCUAAUGAAGUGUCGAUCCAGUUGUGCUGGACUCCCUCA